UACAGAGGCCCCAAGCGUUACUGAGAAUCACUGGGUUUAAAGGGUGCGUAGGUGGUCCGUUAAGUUCGUUGUGAAAGCCCUGGGCUCAACCCAGGAACUGCUUCGAAUACUGGCGGACUUGAGGCUAGUAGGGGUUACUGGAACUGACGGUGGAGCGGUGAAAUGCGUAGAUAUCGUCAGGAACGCCAAUGGUGAAGACAGGUAACUGGGCUAGUUCUGACACUGAGGCACGAAAGCGUGGGGAGCGAACGGG
rnacentral:rRNA from 1 species